rnacentral:rRNA from 1 species
UACGGAGGGUGCAAGCGUUAUCCGGAUUCACUGGGUUUAAAGGGUGCGUAGGUGGGCGAGUAAGUCAGUGGUGAAAUCUCCGGGCUUAACCCGGAAACUGCCAUUGAUACUAUCAAUCUUGAAUAUUGUGGAGGUAAGCGGAAUAUGUCAUGUAGCGGUGAAAUGCUUAGAUAUGACAUAGAACACCGAUAGCGAAGGCAGCUUGCUACACAAUUAUUGACACUGAGGCACGAAAGCGUGGGGAUCAAACAGG